AUUGAACGCUGGCGGCAUGCCUUACACAUGCAAGUCGAACGGCAGCACGGGGGCAACCCUGGUGGCGAGUGGCGAACGGGUGAGUAAUACAUCGGAACGUGCCCCGUAGCGGGGGACAACCAGUCGAAAGACUGGCUAAUACCGCAUACGCUCCACGGAGGAAAGCAGGGGAUCGCAAGACCUUGCACUAUGGGAGCGGCCGAUGCCCGAUUAGCUAGUUGGUGAGGAAAGGCUCACCAAGGCAACGAUCGGUAGCUGGUCUGAGAGGACGACCAGCCACGCUGGGACUGAGACACGGCCCAGACUCCUACGGAGCAGCAGUGGGGAAUAUUGGACAAUGGGCGCAAGCCUGAUCCAGCCAUGCCGCGUGGGUGAAGAAGGCCUUAGGGUUGUAAACCCC
rnacentral:rRNA from 1 species